CCUGUGACUAAAAUUGCAAAUCCCCAUCAGGCUCCUCAUGACAGUCUUGCAACUUAUCUGAGCUGUAUCUGUGUGUGUGUGUGUGUGUGUGUGUGUGUGUGUGUGUGUGGUCUGACCUGUAU